rnacentral:lncRNA from 1 species
AAAGUAUAAAGGUUAUUUGGGAGAAGGAAAAAUUAUUUCUCAAUAUUAACUCCAUAGACAAAAGCCCAAUUUUCAUAAUAAGCUAGGAGAAAUCGAUAAUGUUUUAAAAAUAAAAAGUGAACUGCUUACACUCACCAAUCUAUACCCAGUAUUAAUUCUAUCCUGCAGUGUAUGCUAUAGAAGGUAAUAAAACGCUGAUGUUUCCUAGUUUCUCGUUUCAAUCUGCUCCAGCUUUCUCUUCAACCUGGUUAGCAACAGAAGUCACCCCCAGCAAUUACACAAACCUAACAACGGCUUCCCUGGGAUAAUUUGAUCCGCUCCAACCACACAUUCCAAUCCACAUACUUUCUUCCGUUACGGUUGUUGUCUGUGUGUGUUUAACAUGCUUCUUGAAAGGCUUUUUUAAAAUAUCGAGCCAAGGAUUUCUCAUCCAGCUCGCUACCACAUCAACAGAACCAGAAUAUGAUUUAGUUCAGCUUCAGAUGACAGUACAGCAAAGUAUUACUGUCAUUUCACAUUUCUCCUCCUUCUGUGCUCUUAACUGCUGUGCACCUGGGUCGCUACAGGACUGCCUAUCAUGAGCUGAGCCCUCCCAGCUGUGGACCCUGGGGGGUGGGAAAUCUUGAAACUUGCCUGACUCAAGGGCUCUCAGCCGUUGCUUUGUCACCAACAGCCUGUAUUAACCUGCUCCUAUUGGACCUUUAUCACUUUCCUGACCCCACAAAACAAACCUGGCUGGCAAAUGCAGUGAACAGCCUCCUUGAAAAUGCAGCUUGACUGUGAUUCAUGGCCAAAAGCUGGAAUAACCCUGCCAGGCCAGAGAAAAAUCGCAGCUUCAUUGUCUGAAGGAAGAGGACUCAGGAAAAUGCAACUACACCUGAAGCAAGAUCUUUUAUGGCUUGGCAAUCCCAACCUUGCCGGUGUGAAAGGACCGACCUACCUCUGGAACCCGGAGGGCAACUGUGGCAGCAAAAUCCCAAAGUGUUGCUGCCUAUGGUGACUGUGCUAGAACUGAAACUUCUCAGGAAGCCAGGCUGUUAAAAUUGUGAUGCCCUGUACUCAACAAUACCAUGGAUUAUCUAGUCCAAAGUGGAAAGCAAGCCCUUACGGUAAUGUCAUUUGCAUCCUCAACACCCAGAACGCCCUGUUUCUCUUUCCCUGAAUAAAACUACAUUCAAAUCCCAUUGAACACCCAUGUUCAAACCUCCAUUUGUCAGCUGACAAGACCAAGAAUACUCUAAGGUGUUUAAGUCAUUCACGAGUGUCUAGAAAUUUCCAUAGGAAAACUUUGACAACUUUGAAGGCAUGCAUCUCCCCACCCAAGACCCUAGCCAACAACCAUCCUACAAGUCCGUGAGUUCGAAGUUCCCAUGGCUUCUGUACAGUCCCUGUGUCAACAUAAAGCUAAGUUUCAUACACACCCUGGAUCCUUGUCCCUUACAAACACUAAAGGUUUUGUUUGACUUAACUUCAAGCUGUUCAUCUGUUAGUAAGUACUGCUCACCCUAAAACACAUUCAUGAUGAGAGCUUUCUAAAACACCAGUAUGGCCUUCCCCUCCAAUAAUCAUAAUACUCAGAUUAGCCUAAGAUGUGCUACUGGGCAGUUUGGCGGUGGGGUGGGGGUGGUAGAUAUUUAGUGCCUGGAGCUGCCACAGAGCAGGGAAAACCUCACACUGGAACGAAGGAAGUAAUCUCAGUACAGUCCCGCUUAAGCCAAUUAUCUGUUUACAUUUGAUUUCAAUACCCUAUUGAAAACAAUGCAGUGGAGGAGGAAAUGUAAGAAUACAUAGCAACACUCUAACCUUCUUUUGCCUAUAGUUGUUAUUGCAGUGUGUUAAAGUCUGAUAGCAGGCCUCACUGUCAAUUCAUCAGGGCUUGUGCUAGCAGGUUCUGGCUAGAGACCAUCUCCGUCAUCACCAUCACCUAAGACCUGUUGGCUGUCCCAUCAGGCACUAAGAGGCUCAUGGUCUGCAAGGGUCCCCAAACAGCUGAAUCCAGUUCUCACUUAUUUCCUUGAGCUCAAUCUCACAGAUAAGAAUUAAGAUGAUCCCCAUCAUAGAAAAGCAGCUCAGAAAUGCAAACCUUUUUCUGAACCAAGAGCUAUCAGCAAAUCUCAAAUAUCAGAACAGCUCUGGUUGACUGAAAAGUGUCACGAACCCUGGGCCAAGAAUGAUUUCAGGCUCACAAACUAAUCUGUCUGGUCCUACAAUUUAUGUGAGCAGAGUCACUCAUGAGAAAACUCUUAAGAAACGUCCAGGCCACCCCACACCCCUGACGUUAGUGUAUCAGACCAGCUGAGAGUGGCAGGAUGUUAACUGCCCUCCAGGUGACAUGAAUAAAUAGCCCCAUUGUUUUCACAACCCUGGAUUCCUGCCUGAAGAAACCCUAGACCUCAGACCAGUUCUCUGGGACAAAACUGCACACAGUUCAAAUGCUAACUCUUCGAGAUAGUAUCUACGGUCUAAACCAAGAGAUAAGCAGUUACUUACAAAAAUGUCAGUAAGAAGGCCUGUUCACUUCAAAAAACAAAAAUAAAUAAAAUUUUUCAUUUAAAUAAAAAGGUACUGGAGCUUAAAUCUGUGGUCACUGCAGGGAUUAAGCUUAUGUUCUUGGUUCAGAUAACAAAACACGUCAUCUGGGCACAGAGACCUCAUAAUCAUGUUUUUGGCACAAGGGGCAGGGGAAUUUUUGUUGCUGUUUUUUUUUAAUUCAGUCUCCCUAAGAAUAUGAACAUGUGGAAACAUACAAUGAGUAUGACAAAAUUCUAAAACAUAUUACACUUAAAAUUAACCUUAACCAACAAUCUUUUGCACUCACAUACAGUCAAAAUUCUUCUAGGCAAUGAGGUAUUAAGAAAUUUCUUUAGUCUUACUGUUUGUCAGUGUUUCUCAAAAGCUAUGCAACAAUAUAUAUACACACAUACAAAAACAGGCAAUUACUUACAUUUUGUAAGAGAAAAACUUGAAGGGUCUCAUUCUUCAUAUUUGAUGCUACAACCAGCUCUUUGUUUCAAGCAAUGGGUAAGCAUUACAGCAUGGAGAUUGAGAGCAAAAAUUCUGAGCCAGACUGCCUGGGUUCCAAUCCCAACUCUGACUCUUAACUGAGGACUUGGAGUAAGUUACUUAAGAGCUCUGUGCCUCAGUUUUCUCAUAUAAAAAGUGGUACCACCCACAGUAACUACUUCCAGGGCUUGGCGUGAGGAAUAAAUGGGCAACACCUGCUUAGAACUGGGCCUGUUGCUGAAUAUUCAUUAAUAGAAAACUGUCAUUGUAUUAUAAUUGUUAUUAAGCUCAUUGCAAUAAAUGUACACACUAUCCAAAAUGAAGAUGAAUUACUGAACAGCCAGAUACAGUGAAAUAUAUCUAUGAACAGCACAUAUCUCGUUUCAGGUAACGUUUAUAUAAGUAAGAUUUUGGCAUGAAAGCCUCUGAGAUAACAACUCAAGGAGAUGGGCCUGUUAACCGUCAGUUUUCUGCCUGGUUAUCACUUGACACUUUCAACUCUGUCCUGCAUUUAAUGUUUCACACAAGGACACGAACCUAGGAAAUGACACAGAAGGGGGUAAUUGUAGUAGACCUGAUUCAUAUGAGAGAGGGUACGAAGUUCAGGCUAGUUUAAAGAUUCAUGCAUUAAGGCAAAAAAAUACUGGCAGCCAUUAAUUUUAGACACAGCACCCUAACCAAAAAAGAUAUGGAGGGAAAAAAUAGGUUACCUAUUACGAACAGCUGUGCUGAUCAUCCAAACACAUGAACCAUGUCUAGAAUUCACACUGACUACUCAGCCUCAAUAUAAGAGAACACUGAUGCCAAUUAUCUCCCUUCCUCCCAGGAUGAGAGAUUUCUCAGAGUAGGAGAUUAUUAAUUGAAACUUCGACUUGCUAAGAAGGGGCAGAGAAAAAACAGUCUGCUUGGUGAGGGAACAGCUGCCCCAGGGAAAGACCGUGGACUUGUACAUGCAAUCAUUCCUUCAUCUACUCGGGAGUGGUCUUGCACUUUAUCUCCUUCCAUGUGCACACACACUCCCACCAGGUACAUCCAACUGCCUACAGGUGCAGGGGAGCCCAUGCUCUCUCACCACAGUGCUUCUGUGAAUGCAUUUCUCCACCUGUGGGCCCCACCAUUAAGACCACAGAAAAGCCUCUCCUUCCUACCUACCUCCUCCCCAUGCAAGGUGCUUAUUCCCACUGGGUAAAUUAGUAAAUCAGUACCACCUAUCACGUGAAUUAGCAUGAAAGGGAAAAGAACCAAUGGGAAAACUGGGUCACAUUUUCAGUUUAGAAAAAAAAAAAAAAAGGGCUUUAAAAAAUUGGGGGCACUUGCUGCAAGAUCCAAAAUGAAAUCAAACGUUAAGACUUAAUAAUACCACAGAUAGACUCUUUGCUAGAGUUAAAGAAUCCUCUCUGGUCUGUCUCAACAAGGUGAUAAAGAAGCCCACCCAGGUUGCUAGAAAUGACUGCAUGUGCGAAAGCUCUGCAUGGGGCUCAUCAGGGAGCUGAUUGGGCUAAACUAAGUCUCUAUUCUAAGUAUCCUGCUCCUGAGUUCCCGUUGUGGCACAGCCAAAACAAAUCUGACUAGCACCCUAAGUAUCCUGCUCCUGGCAGAGGGAUGCAAAGGGAAGGGGGUCUCAGAUUCAGAGGCCAGUGAUUAUCUCCCCCACCCCACCUCCCAACCCCCACACUGCAAUGCUAUAGAGUUGGACAUGAAGUUUCUCCCUGCAGCCCACUUAGGCCACUGAGGCUUUGCUACCUGCAGUAUGGCUGCAGUCCAGUCCUGCAACUGAGGAGGCAGUCACUGGGCACUGGGCCUCCACCAGAGAGGAGGAGUAUGGGGGGAGUAGAGGGGCUAGAGAAUUUAAAAAAUGGUGAGUUGGAAGUGAAUCUUCAGAACUGUGACACAGGUCCAGUUGUCUUUACCCCCUCUCCCACUUCAUCUUUGUCUUCCACCUUAAAAAACAUAUAUAUAAAUAUAUAAAUAUAUA